rnacentral:misc_RNA from 1 species
AAAAUGCGAUACGCAAUGCGAAUUGCAGAAUUCCGCGAAUCAUCAGAUCCUUGAACGCAACUGGCGCUGGAGGGAUAUCCUUCCAGCAUGUCUGUUUCAGUGUCUGAUAACUUCCUUCUCAUCAUAAUGUGUUUGACAAGGGGUGAGUCAUUUAUGACUCAUAACCAAAAUUCCCGAGUCUUACAUGAAAGAUGUAUGUGUGGGUCUUUGGAUCCAUCGAAUUGGUCACUGAGACUUCAGUGAUUUCGAUAGGAAAUCCAAUUACUCGUAUGCACAUAGAAGUAUUUAUAACAUCUCUAAUAUCUGCAUCUGAAAUCAGGCAAGAACACCCGCUGAACUUAA